AACCAUUCUCACCUGCGGCUAGACCUGCGGAAGGAUCAUCAUCAAAUCCUCUAUUUAUCAACAAACACCCUCUGUGCACCGAAACCCGGUUUUCUCAAAGCUCCUCAUGUCGGGGGAGGGGGAGGGAGAGGCGGAUUCAUUCUCCUCUCUUCACUCUCUCCCCCACAUGUGUGCGCCUUUGAAGCCGUGGGUUUUUUUAUUACUACUACAAUAAACACCUACAUUUCCCAACCCUCAAAA
rnacentral:misc_RNA from 1 species